AAACUCUACAGGACAGCAGCACUCCAGGACCGACGUUGCCUACCCCUGGACUACAGUAUGAAUUUUUGCAAAUUAACAAAAACCUCACCGACCUGGGUUGCUGGUGUGUUUCAGGAUCUUCCUCAGUCUGCAGCUAAAAUAAUUCUGGAUCAUGCAAAGAAAACCGCCAACCAAUGAGAUAACUUCUUCCUGUUUUGUGAGCCACUUCUGAUAAGCAUUUUAGUGACAGCCAUUUUGUCAAUUACCUUUGGAUUGUUGUUGUCUUUGCACCCUUUUAUCAUAUAUUACAUGGUGUGUGGAG
rnacentral:lncRNA from 1 species